rnacentral:sRNA from 1 species
AGAUGAGUAUGAGCAGGUGGUGCAGUAUUCUAGUCGUAGAGACCUGUUUCGAAGGCGGGCCUAAAAAUCCGUCACGGGCACAUCAAUGAAGUUCCUGGUGCUGGCUUUCGACGCCCAGUUGGGGGCUUGUGCUGGGAGUUAAGGAGGAAGGGCGAUCUACAAUGGCAUGUAGGCGUUGACCCUCCCUCCGCGGAGGCUCAAGUUUGUGGCUAAAUGCUACGGCUUUGAGUUAAACCUGCAUGCGGUACCGAUUAGUGCUGUGUGCAGUGUAGCCUGCCUUGAGUGGUGCUGGUGAAUGCCUUGUAUAAUGGCUUGCCACUGUAAGGGCCCUUACAGCCAACAGCCAGAGCUGAAACCUUCACUGCAAAAGAGGCUAAAAACAGUUUGAAACGCCGAGGAAAUCUCCUAGACUGUCUGCUGAGGCGGCUCCUGCUGGGGAUUAAAGUGUGGACUGAGUGGUAAUCUAGCCCUGCUGUCGGCAACGAAGCAGAACAAGGUUAAAAGGGAAACCACCAGGACGGCGACGUCCGGCACCUUGUUGGGAAAACCUGCUAGACCUAAGCCGCAAUAUUUACCCAACAGGAGACCACCUGCUUGUUUCAUAUU